rnacentral:sRNA from 1 species
GGAGUCUGAGACUCUAUCCAUGUCUGCGAUGGAAUCUUUUAUUGAAAAACAGACAAAGUUACUGGAAAUGCAGCCAUCAAAAGCCCCAGAAAAAGAUCCUGAACAACCUCCCAAAGGACGUGUGGACAGUUGCGUGUCAGAUGCAGCUGUGCCAGCCCAAGACCCCAGCAACAGCGAUCCAGGAACAGAGACAGAGUUAGCUGACACAGCCCUGGAUCUGCUCCUCUUGCUACUAACAGAACAGUGGAAAUGGCUAUGUACCGAAAACAUGCAAAAGUUUCUUCGUCUUAUCUUUGGGACCCUAGUUCAAAGGUAAGACUGCUGAAUUCUCCCUCACAUCAGAAUCUCAAGUUGCAGAGAAGGUGGAUGUGAUGCUGAAUAGUGUCCAGGGAAUCUGCAGCCGUAAGAGAAGAUAGAUUCUCUGUUACAGGGGUUACAGGGAUGAAAAAUGCCUUGAGAGUAUCAGAAAGCUUUUAUUGACUACCUUGUUGUCUACAA